rnacentral:lncRNA from 1 species
AUUUAUAAUAAAAAACAUAAAAAAAAAAGUUAUAACUAAUGACUAUCCAUCGUGUACUAAGUACAACUAUUUAUUUAUGUUUUUGUUUUCUUCUUUUUUUUAUUUUUUGCUUAAUAUGGAUUAAAUUUGUUUUGAAAUUAAUUCAAAAUAAAUACUCUAAAUUUUUUCAGAAAAAUAAAAUUAUUCAGAAAUAUAUUAAUUUUCAUAAUAAAAAUAAUGCAUUACAAAAAAAAUGUUUUAUAUAAAUUAGUUAGCUAUAAACUGGAUGGUAAUAGAUGUCUAAAUAAAAUUUACACAUAUAUCUACAUGUAUAUCGUUAUAUAAAUACAUAUUUAUAUGUUAAUAUGUUAUUAUGUGUUUGUACAUUAUCUAUACAUUAUCAUCUGUACAUUAUCUGCACAUUUUUUUUUUUUUUUUUUUUUUUUUUUUCCACUUUCAGAUAAAAAUAUUUAUAAACAAACCCCAUGUAGGAACCAUGUCUCCUUUUACUAUUUGAAAAGGACAAUUUUUUUUUUGCAUAAUUCUAAAUUUAUGCCCAUAAAACAGAGAUUAAAUGAAUUUUUUAUUCAAAAUGAUAUAACUGAUAUAAGGAAUUUUACACACUUGACAUAUGAGAAAGUUAUCCAAUUUAAAAAAGACAUGAGUAUUUGCUUAAUAGAGGCAUAUAAUUCUUUUGAUUAUAAAAAUAGAAAAGAACUUUUAUAUAUAUAUUUUAAAUUGUAUUCAAAACUUUAUUUUUUGUUUAAAAAUGAAAAUACUUAUUUUUUCCAUUUUUUAACAAAUAUCAUAUUAGUCUCAUGGGUCUACACCCCUUUCAAUGUUAUUUUUUAUUAUAAGGAAAAAAAAAAAAAUGAAUAAAUAAUAGUACCAGGUAAAAUAAUUUAAAUACAAAUAAAGUGGUAAUAAAUAAAGCA